GGGCCCGUAGCUCAGUUGGUAGAGCAUCGGCCUUUUAAGCCGCAGGUCGCGCGUUCGAAUCGCGCCGGGCUCACCA
rnacentral:tRNA from 3 species